GGAGGGGGGCAAGCGUUGUUCGGAAUUACUGGGGGGCGUAAAGGGGCGCGUAGGGCGGGAAGAUCAAGUCAGGGGUGAAAGGCCUGGGCUCAACCCGGGAACUGCCUUUGAAACUGGUUUUCUAGAGUACGGGAGAGGAUGGCGGAAUCCCCAGUGUAGAGGUGAAAUUCGUAGAUAUUGGGAAGAACACCGGUGGCGAAGGCGGCCAUCUGGCCCGGUACUGACGCUAAGGCGCGAAAGCGUGGGGAGCAAACACGGAUUAGAUACCCUGGUAGUCCACGCCGUAAACGAUGUGUGCUAGCCGUUGGGGCUUCAGGUCUCGGUGGCGCAGCUAACGCGUUAAGCACACCGCCUGGGGAGUACGGCCGCAAGGUUA
rnacentral:rRNA from 1 species